GCCAGGUGUGGUGGCGUAUGUCUAUAAUCCCAGUGGCUUGGGAGGCUGAGGCAGGAGGAUCAUGAGUGCGAAGCCAGCCUCAGCAACUUAGCAAGGCCCUAAGCAACUCAGUGAGACCUUGUCUCUA
rnacentral:sRNA from 1 species